UUUCCGUAGGUGAACCUGCGGAAGGAUCAUUAUUGUAUAACCGGGGGGCGAGGGCUGUCGCUGACCCGAAAGGUCGUGCACGCACGAAUGCUCUCAGACACAUCCAUCUCACCCCUAUGUGCACCACCGCGUGUGUCCCCUUUUUGCUUGUUCUGAGAGGGGCUUACGUUUUCACACAAAUUUUGUAUGCAGUGUAGAAUGUAUUUUUUGUUUUUGCGAUCACGCAAUCAAUACAACUUUCAACAACGGAUCUCUUGGCUCUC
rnacentral:misc_RNA from 1 species